UAACUAUUAUCCUACGGAGUAUAAAUAAAGCGAAAAUACGAAUAUCGACGCAAAGCUGAUCGAAAAGAUGAAGGCUAAAGGUCUGGUUAUUUUUCUGGCAACAAUUUAUCUGAAUUUUCUUAAUGCUGAACGUGGCAUAAUUCCUUCACCAGAGACAUGUGCAGCAUUAAAUGAAGAAUAUGCAAUUGAUCCUACAAGAUGUCAAAAUUCUUGCGAAUACUAUGUUCGAACUUGGGACUGUCAUAUUAGCUAUAAACCUAAUGGUGACUGUUACUGUAAGCCUGGAUUUGCAAGACUAAAUGAUGGAGUGUGUGUAUCGGUUGAGGACAACGCAGUAAAGCACAGUUACCUAUUAUACCAGAGUCGUGCAGUGGACCGUUUGAAAUGUUCUCGGAAAAAGUAGAACUGGGUGUGUGUGACAUAAAUUGUCGUACGUAUCAAUGUACUGCCAAUGGAGAAUCACAUGGCACUGGUUAUAAAUGGAGUCCCCGAUGUGUUUGUGGAAAUAACGAGGAACGCUAUUUCAGUACGCCAACAGACGAGUACAGGCGAUUAAGUAAUGGGACCUGUGUGAACGUAGAAGCUGAAGAGUGUGUAGCUGAAUAUCAACCAUCCGAAGAGCGAUGCGCUGCACUUGGUCUAAUAUAUAGCGUGGAUGCACCGUGUCAACCAGCAUGUUAUGGUGAAGAGCAUUGUCCCAGCCCAGGACCCACUUGUAUUUGUCCUCAAAAUAAAUUGGCAUUUUUUUCCUAUUUUAAUGGAUUUACAGAUUCAUAUACUGACAUGUUCUGUUAUAGUAAAGAAAGUUGUCCAGAAUCAACUCGUCUACCGAGGGCAUAAUGAGUUGAAUAUGAAUCCGUUUUGAAAAAAAAUUAUAAAUAAAGAUGUAAAAUGAGAUUAAUUCAAAA